UGGUUUCUACUCUGUGCACUCCUCAUCCUUUAGAAGUUCCUUCUCACCUUGGUGAGAUAGAUGAGCACUGUUUCUGUGUUACCACGCUAGGUGGGAAGGCAGCAUGGGACUUUAAGAUACCAACUGAUGGAAAUCACAGUGCCACAGCUAAGCACUGAGCUGAACAGGCUUCAUC